AACUUUCAACAACGGAUCUCUUGGUUCUCGCAUCGAUGAAGAACGCAGCGAAAUGCGAUAAGUAGUGUGAAUUGCAGAAUUCAGUGAAUCAUCGAAUCUUUGAACGCACAUUGCGCCUCCUGGCAUUCCGGGAGGCAUGCCUGUUCGAGCGUCAUGA
rnacentral:rRNA from 1 species